GGGCCUGUAGCUCAGGGGAUAGAGCACUGGUUUCCGGUACCAGGUGUCGGAGGUUCGAAUCCUUCCAGGCCCG
rnacentral:tRNA from 3 species